UACGUAGGGGGCGAGCGUUGUCCGGAAUCAUUGGGCGUAAUGAGCUCGUAGGCGGUUCAGUAAGUCAGGUGUGAAAGCUCCGAGCUCAACUCGGAGAGGCCACCUGAUACUGCUGUGACUAGAAUCCAGUAGGGGAGUGUGGAACUCCUGGUGUAGCGGUGAAAUGCGCAGAUAUCAGGAAGAACACCAGCGGCGAAGGCGGCACUCUGGGCUGGAAUUGACGCUGAGGAGCGAAAGUGUGGGUAGCAAACAGG
rnacentral:rRNA from 1 species